AGGGGCGUAGCUCCAAUUGGUAGAGCGACGGAUUCCAAAUCCGUAGGUUUAGGGUUCGAAUCCCUACGCCCCUG
rnacentral:tRNA from 2 species